CCCGGCGACCGGCGCACGGGUGAGUAACGCGUAUGCAACCUGCCCGUUUCAGCGGGAUAACCCGGAGAAAUCCGGCCUAAUACCGCAUGUGGCCGAGGGGAGGCAUCUUCUUUCGGCCAAAAGGGAGGCGACUCCGGAGACGGAUGGGCAUGCGUGACAUUAGCUUGUUGGCGGGGUAACGGCCCACCAAGGCGACGAUGUCUAGGGGUUCUGAGAGGAAGGUCCCCCACACUGGUACUGAGACACGGACCAGACUCCUACGGAAGGCAGCAG
rnacentral:rRNA from 1 species